GUGCUCAAUUUCAGCAGCACAUACACUAAAGUUAGAACAAUACAGAGGAGAGUAGCACAGCCCCUGCACAAGAACGAGAUGCAAAUCCGUGAAGCGUUUCAUAUUUUA